ensembl:lncRNA
CAGGAUGUAUGGACAGGAUGUACGGACAGGAGGUACGGACAGGAUGUACGGACAGGAUGUACGGACAGGAUGUAUGGACAGGAGGUAUGGACAGGAGGUAUGGACAGGAUGUAUGGACAGGAUGUAUGGACAGGAUGUAUGGACAGGAGGUAUACACAGGAUGUAUGGACAGGAGGUAUGGACAGGAUGUAUGGACAGGAUGUAUGGACAGGAGGUAUGGACAGGAUGUAUGGACAGGAUGUAUGGACAGGAUGUAUGGACAGGAGGUAUACACAGGAUGUAUGGACAGGAGGUAUGGACAGGAUGUAUGGACAGGAGGUAUGGACAGGAGGUAUGGACAGGAUGUAUGGACAGGAGGUAUGGACAGGAUGUGUAGGGCCCAUCAGUAACGGGCAU